rnacentral:rRNA from 1 species
GAAUUCGAUUAACGCGAAGAACCUUACCCAGGCUGGACGUGCAGGUAGUAGAAGGGUGAAAGCCCAACGAGGUAGCAAUACCAUCCUGCUCAGGUGCUGCAUGGCUGUCGUCAGCUCGUGCCGUGAGAUGUUGGGUUAAGUCCCGCAACGAGCGCAACCCUCGUCUUUAGUUGCCAUCAUUUAGUUGGGCACUCUAAAGAAACCGCCGGUGAUAAGCCGGAGGAAGGUGGGGAUGACGUCAAGUCCUCAUGGCCCUUACGCGCUGGGCUACACACGUGCUACAAUGGCGGUGACAACGGGCAGCCACUCCGCGAGGAGGAGCUAAUCCCAAAGAGCCGUCUCAGUUCGGAUCGUUCUCUGCAACUCGAGAGCGUGAAGGCGGAAUCGCUAGUAAUCGCGGAUCAGCAUGCCGCGGUGAAUACGUUCCCGGGCCUUGUCACACCGAAUCACUA